rnacentral:tRNA from 1 species
GCUGGUGCAGCUCGAUUGGAAGAGUAGUUGAUUAGUUUAUCAGCUUGCGGGUUCGAUUCCCAUCACCAGCU